rnacentral:lncRNA from 1 species
AAAAAAAAAAAAAAAAAAAAAAAAAAAAAAAGGCCAGAGCACAGGAGGGCUCAUCAUGGAGACCAGUUUCUUGCUGACCUCUUUCCUUCUCCUAUAGGCAGCCUUGGCUUUUAGCACUUUUAGUUGCUGGUAGCUCCUGUGUGUGGUCAGAUGAUAGGCUGCAGGUGAGAGUAUCAGAGGCUGCUUCAACAUAAGCUCCCUGCCAGCAUUGCUGGGCAAAAUGUCAGCUUGGGCCAAAAAGAGAAAUUAGAUAAGAACAAACAGCCAGGCAUGGUGGCUCAUGCCUGUAAUCCCAGCACUUUGGGAGGCCGAGGCGGGUGGAUCACGAGGUCAGGAGUUCAAGAUCAGCCUGGUCAAGAUGGUGAAACCCUGUCUCUACUAAAUAUACAAAAAAGUAGCCAGGCAUGGUGGGUGCCUGUAGUCCCAGCUACUCGGGAGGCUGAGGCAGAAGAAUCGCUUGAACCCAGGAGGCAGAGGUUGCAGUGAGCCAAGAUCGUGCCACUGCACUCCA